GACGUGAUAGAAUGAUAUAAAAUUUAGGUUAUGAUCACUAGAAAAUGACUUAAGUGGUAUUUGAGCUUAAGAUUAUCAUUAUUCGAGAUUGUGACUUUAAUGAUAUUUGAACUUGAGGCUAAGAUCAUGAGGAACAUGAUAGAUAUAAAAGAAAGGAUUCAAUAAUUUGAUUUCGAAUCAAUAGGUAUUAUGAUAAAAUUUAUGUAUAAAUGGCAUAUGAUGUCUAUAAUAGAAUUGACGAGUUAUAUCUUAGAUUUCAAUUAGCAAGAUUGAUCUGAGUACGAGAAGUGUUGAUCCUAGAAUGAAGUGGAAGGUAUUGAUAUAUUAUGUUAUGUAUAUUUGAUGACAUUGGAAUGCUAAACCUAUAUUGAUAAAGGACGUGAUAAUUUUGCUGAUUUUGAUUUCUUUGUAAAGAAAAGUUGGUUUGGAAGUUGUCUAAAUGAUUGUAAGGUAAAUCGAAGGUUAACUCAAAUUAAUUCUAGACAUAUUGGAUUCUUGAA
rnacentral:lncRNA from 1 species